UUAAGUUAAUAAGGGCGCACGGUGGAUGCCUUGGCACUAGGAGCCGACGAAGGACGUGACAAACGACGAUAUGCCUUGGGUAGCUGUAAGUAAGCGAUGAUCCAGGGAUUUCCGAAUGGGGGAACCCAACAGGUAAUACCUGUUACCUACAUCUGUUAAGGAUGUGAGGAGGAAGACGCAGUGAACUGAAACAUCUAAGUAGCUGCAGGAAGAGAAAGCAAAAGCGAUUGCCUUAGUAGCGGCGAGCGAAACGGCAGAAGGGCAAACCGAAGAGUUUACUCUUCGGGGUUGUAGGACUGCAAUGUGGACUCAAAGAUUAUAGAAGAAUGAUUUGGGAAGAUCAGCCAAAGAGAGUAAUAGCCUCGUAUUUAAAAUAGUCUUUGUACUUAGCAGUAUCCUGAGUACGGCGGGACACGUGAAAUCCCGUCGGAAUCUGGGAGGACCAUCUCCCAACCCUAAAUACUCCCUAGUGACCGAUAGUGAACCAGUACCGUGAGGGAAAGGUGAAAAGCACCCCGGGAGGGGAGUGAAAUAGAACCUGAAACCGUGUGCCUACAACAAGUUCGAGCCCGUUAAUGGGUGAGAGCGUGCCUUUUGUAGAAUGAACCGGCGAGUUACGUUAUGAUGCGAGGUUAAGUUGAAGAGACGGAGCCGUAGGGAAACCGAGUCUGAAUAGGGCGCCUUAGUAUCAUGACGUAGACCCGAAACCAUGUGACCUACCCAUGAGCAGGUUGAAGGUGCGGUAAGACGCACUGGAGGACCGAACCAGGGCACGUUGAAAAGUGCUUGGAUGACUUGUGGGUAGCGGAGAAAUUCCAAACGAACUUGGAGAUAGCUGGUUCUCUCCGAAAUAGCUUUAGGGCUAGCGUCGACAUUAAAGAUUCUUGGAGGUAGAGCACUGUUUGGGUGAGGGGUCCAUCCCGGAUUACCAAUCUCAGAUAAACUCCGAAUGCCAAUGAAUUAUGGUCGGCAGUCAGACUGCGAGUGCUAAGAUCCGUAGUCGAAAGGGAAACAGCCCAGACCACCAGCUAAGGUCCCAAAAUAAUUGUUAAGUGGAAAAGGAUGUGGGGUUGCACAGACAACUAGGAUGUUAGCUUAGAAGCAGCUAUUCAUUCAAAGAGUGCGUAAUAGCUCACUAGUCGAGUGACCCUGCGCCGAAAAUGUACCGGGGCUAAAACAAUUUACCGAAGCUGUGGAUACCUUUAUAGGUAUGGUAGGAGAGCGUUCUAUGUGUGAUGAAGGUAUACCGUGAGGAGUGCUGGAACGCAUAGAAGUGAGAAUGCCGGUAUGAGUAGCGAAAGACAGGUGAGAAUCCUGUCCACCGUAAGACUAAGGUUUCCAGGGGAAGGCUCGUCCGCCCUGGGUUAGUCGGGACCUAAGGAGAGACCGAAAGGUGUAUCCGAUGGACAACAGGUUGAUAUUCCUGUACUAGAGUAUGUAGUGAUGGAGGGACGCAGUAGGCUAACUAAAGCAGACGAUUGGAAGAGUCUGUCUAAGCAGUGAGGUGUGAAUUGAGUCAAAUGCUUAAUUCUAUAACAUUGAGCUGUGAUGGGGAGCGAAGUUUAGUAGCGAAGUUAGUGACGUCACACUGCCAAGAAAAGCUUCUAGCGUUUAAACAUACUCUACCCGUACCGCAAACCGACACAGGUAGUCGAGGCGAGUAGCCUCAGGUGAGCGAGAGAACUCUCGGUAAGGAACUCGGCAAAAUGACCCCGUAACUUCGGGAGAAGGGGUGCGGACUUAAAGUCAGCCGCAGUGAAUAGGCCCAAGCAACUGUUUAUCAAAAACACAGCUCUCUGCUAAAUCGUAAGAUGAUGUAUAGGGGGUGACGCCUGCCCGGUGCUGGAAGGUUAAGAGGAGUGCUUAGCGUAAGCGAAGGUAUGAAUUGAAGCCCCAGUAAACGGCGGCCGUAACUAUAACGGUCCUAAGGUAGCGAAAUUCCUUGUCGGGUAAGUUCCGACCCGCACGAAAGGCGUAAUGAUUUGGGCACUGUCUCAACGAGAGACUCGGUGAAAUUUUAGUACCUGUGAAGAUGCAGGUUACCCGCGACAGGACGGAAAGACCCCAUGGAGCUUUACUGCAGUUUGAUAUUGAGUGUCUGUACCACAUGUACAGGAUAGGUAGGAGUCUAAGAGAUCGGGACGCCAGUUUCGAAGGAGACGCUGUUGGGAUACUACCCUUGUGUUAUGGCCACUCUAACCCAGAUAGGUGAUCCCUAUCGGAGACAGUGUCUGACGGGCAGUUUGACUGGGGCGGUCGCCUCCUAAAAGGUAACGGAGGCGCCCAAAGGUUCCCUCAGAAUGGUUGGAAAUCAUUCGCAGAGUGUAAAGGUAUAAGGGAGCUUGACUGCGAGAGCUACAACUCGAGCAGGGACGAAAGUCGGGCUUAGUGAUCCGGUGGUUCCGUAUGGAAGGGCCAUCGCUCAACGGAUAAAAGCUACCCUGGGGAUAACAGGCUUAUCUCCCCCAAGAGUUCACAUCGACGGGGAGGUUUGGCACCUCGAUGUCGGCUCGUCGCAUCCUGGGGCUGUAGUCGGGCCCAAGGGUUGGGCUGUUCGCCCAUUAAAGCGGCACGCGAGCUGGGUUCAGAACGUCGUGAGACAGUUCGGUCCCUAUCCGUCGCGGGCGUAGGAAAUUUGAGAGGAUCUGCUCCUAGUACGAGAGGACCAGAGUGGACUUACCGCUGGUGUACCAGUUGUCUUGCCAAAGGCAUCGCUGGGUAGCUAUGUAGGGAAGGGAUAAACGCUGAAAGCAUCUAAGUGUGAAACCCACCUCAAGAUGAGAUUUCCCAUGAUUAUAUAUCAGUAAGAGCCCUGAGAGAUGAUCAGGUAGAUAGGUUAGAAGUGGAAGUGUGGCGACACAUGUAGCGGACUAAUACUAAUAGCUCGAGGACUUAUCCAA
rnacentral:rRNA from 1 species